CGACAUAUUGACCCGAAUCGAUGGCCUAGUACGCAGUACGUACGUCAUGAUUCCGCCUUGGUCCGAGUGAAUUGUAGAGGAUUUCGCCGGUCUCGAUUUCCUGACCGACGCUUAGACGUGAGAGGCCCGUACGUUGACGUAGCUCGUCAAUUCUCGACGAGUCGAGUAGUUGGGAUGCUGCUCAAAUGGGAGUAAAUCUCUAAAGCUAAAUACGCCAGAGACCGAUAGCGCACAGUAGAGUGAUCGAAAGAUGAAAAGCACUUUGAAAAGAGGGUUAAAUAGCACGUGAAAUUGUUGAAAGGGAAGCGUUGUGACCAGACUUUUUCCCUUGCGAAUCAUCCGGUGUUUUCACCGGUGCACUUCGCUUGGUUUAGGCCAGCAUCGGUUUCCGUAGGGGGAUAAAAGCUUCGGGAAUGUGGCUCCCUCGGGAGUGUUAUAGCCCGUUGCAUAAUACCCUUUAUGGGGACCGAGGUACGCGCUCUGCAAGGAUGCUGGCGUAAUGGUCAUCAACGACCCGUCUUGAAACACGGACCAAGGAGUCGAACAUUUGUGCGAGUGUUUGGGUGUUAAACCCUCACGCGUAAUGAAAGUGAACGGAGGUGAGAGCCCUAGGGUGCAUCAUCGACCGAUCCUGAUGUCUUCGGAUGGAUUUGAGUAAGAGCAUAACUGUUCGGACCCGAAAGAUGGUGAACUAUGCGUGGAUAGGGUGAAGCCAGAGGAAACUCUGGUGGAGGCUCGCAGCGGUUCUGACGUGCAAAUCGAUCGUCAAAUCUGCGCAUGGGGGCGAAAGACUAAUCGAACCAUUGAACACCAGCGGUAAAUUCGAUUUACUAGGUGGUUAAGAGGUGGCCCGGCAGGGCAGAACACCUAGGCUGAGUGGAGUUACCCGGGAGCUACCCGGUAACCACCUAGGAGCUACCUAGUAGCUACCUAGGAGCGGUUACCCGGGAGCUACCUAGGAACGAAGCCCGGCCGACACCGCUAAAUUGCGGGGACAUCCCUCAGAAGGCUCCAGGCUACCGCGGCGCGCUGAAAAGCCCGUCCGCACCAAGGUUAGCGCCCUUGGGUACGGUAAUAACGCCUGUGAGCUGGGACGACCUGCAGCCAACCCCGCCACUCAGGGGAGAGUUCACUGACUAUACAGCGGUGGGUUAACUGUGGUUAGCCUAAGACAUAGUCGAUCGGCGGCCCUGAAAAGGAGCCCUGCAAAUGAGCAUGCGUG
rnacentral:rRNA from 1 species